UUUCUACACUUUUAGGUGUAUUUUGUGCAAGAAUAUGCAAUAAAAUCGUCUGCCUAAGAAAAAUUGAAUUUUUUUAGAAAUUUUUUUUUGGACCUGGAUGACUUUUUGGUGGUAAUAGAGGUCUUCCUCUACUCGGAUUCAGCUGUCGAUUUUUUUCUACACUUUUAGGUGUAUUUUGUGCAAGAAUAUGCAAUAAAAUUGUCUGCCUAAGAAAAAUUGAUAUUUUUCGGAAAUUUUUUUUUGGACCUGGAUGACUUUUUGUUGGUAAUUGGGGUCUUCCUCUACUCGAAUAUGGCUGUCGAUUUUUUUCUACACUUUUAGGUGUAUUUUGUGCAAGAAUAUGCAAUAAAAUCGUCUGCCUAAGAAAAAUUGAAUUUUUUUGGAAAUUUUUUUUUGGACCUGGAUGACUUUUUGGUGGUAAUAGAGGUCUUCCUCUACUCGGAUUCAGCUGUCGAUUUUUUUCUACACUUUUAGGUGUAUUUUGUGCAAGAAUAUGCAAUAAAAUCGUCUGCCUAAGAAAAAUUGAAUUUUUUUGGAAAUUUUUUUUUGGACCUGGAUGACUUUUUGGUGGUAAUAGAGGUCUUCCUCUACUCGGAUUCAGCUGUCGAUUUUUUUCUACACUUUUAGGUGUAUUUUGUGCAAGAAUAUGCAAUAAAAUCGUCUGCCUAAGAAAAAUUGAAUUUUUUUGGAAAUGUUUUUUUUAACCUGGAUGACUUUUUGGUGGUAAUAGAGGUCUUCCUCUACUCGGAUUUGGCUGUCGAUUUUUUUCUACACUUUUAGGUGUAUUUUGUGCAAGAAUAUGCAAUAAAAUCGUCUGCCUAAGAAAAAUUGAAUUUUUUUGGAAAUUUUUUUUUGGACCUGGAUGACUUUUUGGUGGUAAUAGAGGUCUUCCUCUACUCGGAUUUGGCUGUUUAUUUUUUUCUACACUUUUAGGUGUAUUUUGUGCAAGAAUAUGCAAUAAAAUCGUCUGCCUAAGAAAAAUUGAAUUUUUUUGGAAAUUUUUUUUUGGACCUGGAUGACUUUUUGGUGGUAAUAGAGGUCUUCCUCUACUCGGAUUUGGCUGUCGAUUUUUUUCUACACUUUUAGGUGUAUUUUGUGCAAGAAUAUGCAAUAAAAUCGUCUGCCUAAGAAAAAUUGAAUUUUUUUGGAAAUUUUUUUUUGGACCUGGAUGACUUUUUGGUGGUAAUAGAGGUCUUCCUCUACUCGGAUUUGGCUGUCGAUUUUUUCUACACUUUUAGGUGUAUUUUGUGCAAGAAUAUGCAAUAAAAUCGUCUGCCUAAGAAAAAUUGAAUUUUUUUGGAAAUUUUUUUUUGGACCUGGAUGACUUUUUGGUGGUAAUAGAGGUCUUCCUCUACUCGGAUUUGGCUGUCGAUUUUUUUCUACACUUUUAGGUGUAUUUUGUGCAAGAAUAUGCAAUAAAAUCGUCUGCCUAAGAAAAAUUGAAUUUUUUUGGAAAUUUUUUUUUGGACCUGGAUGACUUUUUGGUGGUAAUAGAGGUCUUCCUCUACUCGGAUUUGGCUGUCGAUUUUUUUCUACACUUUUAGGUGUAUUUUGUGCAAGAAUAUGCAAUAAAAUCGUCUGCCUAAGAAAAAUUGAAUUUUUUUGGAAAUUUUUUUUUGGACCUGGAUGACUUUUUGGUGGUAAUAGAGGUCUUCCUCUACUCGGAUUUGGCUGUCGAUUUUUUUCUACACUUUUAGGUGUAUUUUGUGCAAGAAUAUGCAAUAAAAUCGUCUGCCUAAGAAAAAUUGAAUUUUUUUGGAAAUUUUUUUUUGGACCUGGAUGACUUUUUGGUGGUAAUAGAGGUCUUCCUCUACUCGGAUUUGGCUGUCGAUUUUUUUCUACACUUUUAGGUGUAUUUUGUGCAAGAAUAUGCAAUAAAAUCGUCUGCCUAAGAAAAAUUGAAUUUUUUUGGAAAUUUUUUUUUGGACCUGGAUGACUUUUUGGUGGUAAUAGAGGUCUUCCUCUACUCGGAUUUGGCUGUCGAUUUUUUUCUACACUUUUAGGUGUAUUUUGUGCAAGAAUAUGCAAUAAAAUCGUCUGCCUAAGAAAAAUUGAAUUUUUUUGGAAAUUUUUUUUUGGACCUGGAUGACUUUUUGGUGGUAAUAGAGGUCUUCCUCUACUCGGAUUUGGCUGUCGAUUUUUUUCUACACUUUUAGGUGUAUUUUGUGCAAGAAUAUGCAAUAAAAUCGUCUGCCUAAGAAAAAUUGAAUUUUUUUGGAAAUGUUUUUUUGGACCUGGAUGACUUUUUGGUAAUAAUAGAGGUCUUCCUCUACUCGGAUUUGGCUGUUGAUUUUUUUCUACACUUUUAGGUGUAUUUUGUGCAAGAAUAUGCAAUAAAAUCGUCUGCCUAAGAAAAAUUGAAUUUUUUUGGAAAUUUUUUUUUGGACCUGGAUGACUUUUUGGUGGUAAUAGAGGUCUUCCUCUACUCGGAUUCAGCUGUCGAUUUUUUUCUACACUUUUAGGUGUAUUUUGUGCAAGAAUAUGCAAUAAAAUCGUCUGCCUAAGAAAAAUUGAAUUUUUUUGGAAAUUUUUUUUUGGACCUGGAUGACUUUUUGGUGGUAAUAGAGGUCUUCCUCUACUCGGAUUCAGCUGUCGAUUUUUUUCUACACUUUUAGGUGUAUUUUGUGCAAGAAUAUGCAAUAAAAUCGUCUGCCUAAGAAAAAUUGAAUUUUUUUGGAAAUGUUUUUUUUAACCUGGAUGACUUUUUGGUGGUAAUUGGGGUCUUCCUCUACUCGGAUUUGGCUGUUGAUUUUUUUCUACACUUUUAGGUGUAUUUCGUGCAAGAAUAUGCAAUAAAAUCGUCUGCCUAAGAAAAAUUGAAUUUUUUUAAAAAUUUUUUUUUGGAGCUGGAUGACUUUUUGGUGGUAAUAGUGGUCUUCCUCUACUCGGAUUUGGCUGUCGAUUUUUUUCUACACUUUUAGGUGUAUUUUGUGCAAGAAUAUGCAAUAAAAUCGUCUGCCUAAGAAAAAUUGAAUUUUUUUGGAAAUUUUUUUUUGGACCUGGAUGACUUUUUGGUGGUAAUAGAGGUCUUCCUCUACUCGGAUUUGGCUGUCGAUUUUUUUCUACACUUUUAGGUGUAUUUUGUGCAAGAAUAUGCAAUAAAAUCGUCUGCCUAAGAAAAAUUGAAUUUUUUUGGAAAUUUUUUUUUGGUCCUGGAUGACUUUUUGGUGGUAAUAGUUGUCUUCCUCUACUCGGAUUUGGCUGUCGAUUUUUUUCUACACUUUUAGGUGUAUUUUGUGCAAGAAUAUGCAAUAAAAUCGUCUGCCUAAGAAAAAUUGAAUUUUUUUGGAAAUGUUUUUUUUUACCUGGAUGACUUUUUGGUGGUAAUAGAGGUCUUCCUCUACUCGGAUUUGGCUGUCGAUUUUUUUCUACACUUUUAUGUGUAUUUUGUGCAAAAAUACUGAAUAAAAUCGUCUGCCUAAGAAAAAUUGAAUUUUUUUGGAAAUGUUUUUUUUGACCUGGAUGACUUUUUGGUGGUAAUAGUUGUCUUCCUCUACUCGGAUUUGGCUGUCGAUUUUUUUCUACACUUUGAGGUGUAUUUUGUGCAAGAAUAUGCAAUAAAAUCGUCUGCCUAAGAAAAAUUGAAUUUUUUUGGAAAUGUUUUUUUUGGUCCUGGAUGACUUUUUGGUGGUAAUAGAGGUCUUCCUCUACUCUGAUUCAGCUGUCGAUUUUUUUCUACACUUUUAGGUGUAUUUUGUGCAAGAAUAUGCAAUAAAAUCGUCUGCCUAAGAAAAAUUGAAUUUUUUUGGAAAUGUUUUUUUUGACCUGGAUGACUUUUUGGUGGUAAUAGAGGUCUUCCUCUACUCUGAUUCAGCUGUCGAUUUUUUUCUACACUUUUAGGUGUAUUUUGUGCAAGAAUAUGCAAUAAAAUCGUCUGCCUAAGAAAAAUUGAAUUUUUUUGGAAAUGUUUUUUUUGACCUG